GUCUGGGAUAGCUCAGUUGGUAGAGCAUGAGACUCUUAAUCUCAGGGUCGCGGGUUUGAUCACCACACUGGGCA